rnacentral:rRNA from 1 species
UACGAAGGGGGCUAGCGUUGCUCGGAAUCACUGGGCGUAAAGGGUGCGUAGGCGGGUCUUUAAGUCAGGGGUGAAAUCCUGGAGCUCGAACUCCAGAACUGCCUUUGAUACUGAAGAUCUUGAGUUCGGGAGAGGUGAGUGGAACUGCGAGUGUAGAGGUGAAAGUUCGUAGAUAUUAGGUGGAACACCGGUGGCGAAGGCGGCCAACUGGGCUGCAACUGACGCUGAGGCGCGAAAGCGUGGGGAUCAA